UACGAAGGGGGCUAGCGUUGCUCGGAAUCACUGGGCGUAAAGCGCACGUAGGCGGAUUGUUAAGUCAGGGGUGAAAUCCUGGAGCUCAACUCCAGAACUGCCUUUGAUACUGGCAAUCUCGAGUCCGGGAGAGGUGAGUGGAACUCCGAGUGUAGAGGUGAAAUUCGUAGAUAUUCGCAAGAACACCAAGUGGCGAAGGCGGCUCACUGGCCCGGUACUGACGCUGA
rnacentral:rRNA from 1 species